UUUUGACUAGCAAAACUCCAGUUGUUGCAACACAGUCAGCUCGAGCCUUGGGUGCUUUGUCCCGUCCAACAAAAGAAAAAUCUACAUAAGAUGCUUUAUAUUGCUGAAGGAGAUGUAAGACCACUGAUUAAGUUGGCUAAAACUGCAUCUAUUGAUUCUGCAGAGACUGCAAUGGCUGCUUUAGCCAAUCUGUUGUCUGAUCCAGAAAUAGCUGCGGAAGCUCUGGCUGAAGAUGUUGUUUCAGCUUUUACCCGAGUUCUAGGAGA
rnacentral:misc_RNA from 1 species